rnacentral:rRNA from 1 species
GACGAACGCUGGCGGCGUGCCUAAUACAUGCAAGUAGGACGCAGUUGCGAACGGGUGAGUAACGCGUAGGUAACUGCCUAUUAGAGGGGGAUAACUAUUGGAAACGAUAGCUAAUACCGCAUACUAGUAGAUGGACCUGCGUUGUAUUAGCUAGUAGGUAGGGUAAUGGCCUACCUAGGCGACGAUACAUAGCCGAACGGAGAGGAUGAUCGGCCGCACUGGGACUGAGACACGGCCCAGACUCAUACGGGAGGCAGCAGUAGGGAAUCUGCAGCAAUGGGGGGAACCCUGACCGAGCAACGCGGCGUGAGUGAAGAGGGUUUUCGGAUCGUAGAGCUCUGGUGUUGAGGAAGCGGUACUUAACCAGAAAGGAACGGCUAACUUCGUGCCAGCAGCCGCGGUAAUAC